UUGAAAUACCACCCUUUAAUGUUUGAUGUUCUAACGUUGACCCGUAAUCCGGGUUGCGGACAGUGUCUGGUGGGUAGUUUGACUGGGGCGGUCUCCUCCUAAAGAGUAACGGAGGAGCACGAAGGUUGGCUAAUCCUGGUCGGACAUCAGGAGGUUAGUGCAAUGGCAUAAGCCAGCUUGACUGCGAGCGUGACGGCGCGAGCAGGUGCGAAAGCAGGUCAUAGUGAUCCGGUGGUUCUGAAUGGAAGGGCCAUCGCUCAACGGAUAAAAGGUACUCCGGGGAUAACAGGCUGAUACCGCCCAAGAGUUCAUAUCGACGGCGGUGUUUGGCACCUCGAUGUCGGCUCAUCACAUCCUGGGGCUGAAGUAGGUCCCAAGGGUAUGGCUGUUCGCCAUUUAAAGUGGUACGCGAGCUGGGUUUAGAACGUCGUGAGACAGUUCGGUCCCUAUCUGCC
rnacentral:rRNA from 1 species